rfam:Oryza rufipogon genomic scaffold, chr10
AAUAAGUGCAAUUUUGCAUAGUUCAUGUUCAACGUUUGACCGUUCGUCUUAUUUAAAAAUUUUUUAUGGUUAGUAUUUUUAUUGUUAUUAGAUGGUAAAACAUGAAUAAUACUUUAUGUGUAACUAUUUUUUAAUAUUUUUUUAUAUUUUUUUUCAAAUAAGACAGAUGGUCAACGUUGGACACGUAUAUCCACGGCCGCACUUAUU